rnacentral:rRNA from 1 species
UACGGAGGGUGCAAGCAUUAAUCGGAAUUAUUGGGCGUAAAGGGCGCGUAGGCGGCUAUUUAAGUCAGAUGUGAAAUACCAGAGCUCAACUUUGGUGCUGCAUUUGAAACUGAAUAGCUAGAGGGCUGACGGAGAAAAUGGAAUUCCACGUGUAGCGGUGAAAUGCGUAGAUAUGUGGAAGAACACCUGUGGCGAAAGCGAUUUUCUAGUUAGGACCUGACGCUGAGGCGCGAGAGCAAGGGGAGCAAACAGG